CACGUAGGGCGCAAGCGUUGUCCGGAAUUAUUGGGCGUAAAGAGCUCGUAGGCGGACUGUCACGUCUGCUGUGAAAAGCUAGGGCUUAACCCUGGCCUUGCAGUGGAUACGGGCAGACUAGAGGUAGGUAGGGGAGAAUGGAAUUCCCGGUGUAGCGGUGAAAUGCGCAGAUAUCGGGAGGAACACCGGUGGCGAAGGCGGUUCUCUGGGCCUUACCUGACGCUGAGGCGCGAAAGCUAGGGGAGCAAACGGG
rnacentral:rRNA from 1 species